UUUGGGGUGAGGUGGUGGGGCUAAGGGUGCUCCUUUCUCACCUGUUGCUCCACUAGUGUGUGGAGCCUGUAGCUGACAAUGUCUGUCCUGUCCUGUUCAGGUUCAGGAGCCCUGGCUUCACCUCUGAUUACCCUCUUUGACAUCAGAUAAGCCCCUUUCCCUUGCUAGGUCCCAGUUUUCCUAUCUCCAUGAUAAGGUGGCUAGAAUAAAUGAACAGGUUUUCUGUACCUUUAACCCAGAGAACAGGACCAGAGACCUCUCUAGGAAGGAUGAAAUGUAGUCUUCCCUUAAGAACAUGGCAGCUCCAGAUGAAGAUUGCUAGUGGUGAAUGAAGAUGAUGUAAUAUCUUUUCUCACAGGAACCUGGAGUUGAAUUGAAGAGCACUGAAGCCUGUAGAUCUCCUUGGAAGAGUCCUGUUCAGAGUCUGAGGAGUGAUUAAUAUGCAUGGAUUUCUCAUCAAAGAGCAGAUUGUGUCAAAUUCACAGAGCGCUUGACUCUUGCGUGGCUCAGAACUCAUUAUCUUCCAGCAGCAAGUUGAGAGAUUCUUGGACAGACAUCUAAACAAACGCUCAAGUUGCUGCUUUGACCCAGCUAACCUUCCGCAAUAAAGGGUAGUCUUAUUGAAGUCAACUCAAUCCCAGUGGGCCUUAUAUUUAUGACAUUCCAGACUGAAGAUAACAUGUGGAAAGCAGCCACAAAGUAAAAAGAAACAAAGAAUUCUGAAUGUGAAAAACCGCCCUGUUGCUGAUUCUGGUUGCCUCUCCUUGCCACAGUCCUUCCUGGACUGGAGCUCAGCCAGCAGAUGCACAUUAUAUUGGAUGCUUCCUCUAAAGAGUCAGGAGGAGUAAGUGGGAAUACGGGCUGCACUCAGAAAGCUGUUGUACUGGGGAGACUGACCUGGAUUCAAAUAUCUGCUGCAAUGUAUUAAUAUCUGUAGACAAGUCACAGCACCUCUCUGUUAUGGUCCAAGACCUUUGGAUUUCAAGGAACUGAGACUCAGUCAAGAUGACUUGAAGAGGAAUGAGUCAGUCAAGGAAACAGAAUCCACAGUGCCAGAGCUCACGUGUUCAUGGGCCAGCUCAGUGCCUGGCAUGCUGAGAAUAUUUGGGAAAUGCCAGCUAUGCACUGUCACCUCAGGAGGGUCUCUUCUCAUUUCCAAAGCUGUCUUCUGCUUAGUGAAAUGCACAAAGACACUGGGCAAAUAGCCAACAUUAUGUUCCCAUUGUCUGCAGUACUCAGUACGGUAACAUGCUGCGGAGGUGUGGAGCCCAGGAGCAAUCAGCUCUACCCUUCAGCCCAGGUGUGUGUUUGGCGGGACCAUCUGGAGGAAGCCGAGAAGACAUGAGCUGAAGGCAGAGGGUGAGUCCGAGGUGGGAUCUUGGGGCAGGUGUGAGAAGUUGGGCAAAAACGGGUGAAAUCUGAAUAAAUGUCACCAUAUUCGUAUAAUUACUACAUUAAUAACCUUAGAUAAUG